UCCAUGUGAUGCAGAGCUGCCACGCCGGA
rnacentral:piRNA from 1 species